GACGAACCGUGCGAACGUUAUUCGGAAUCACUGGGCUUAAAGCGCGUGUAGGCGGGACGGCACGUCGGCCGCUGAAAUCCCCCGGCUCAACCGGGGAAGUGGCGCCGAAACGACCGCCCUCGAGGGGCGUAGGGGGGGCUGGAACUUCCGGUGGAGCGGUGAAAUGCGUUGAGAUCGGAAGGAACGCCCGUGGCGAAAGCGAGCCCCUGGACGUCAUCUGACGCUGAGACGCGAAAGCCAGGGGAGCGAACGGG
rnacentral:rRNA from 1 species